GGCGAACGGGUGAGUAACGCGUAGGCAACCUGCCCUCCGGCCGGGGACGAACACUCCAAAGGGGGUAGCUAAUACCGGAUACGAAGUCUGUGCCGCAUGGUACGGAUUUGAAAGAUGGCCUCUGUUUACAAGCUAUCGCCGGGGGAGUGGGCCGUGCGUCCGAUUAGCUGGUUGGUGGGGUAACGGGCCUACCAAGGCGACGAUCGGUAGCCGGUCUGAGAGGAUGAACGGCCACAUUGGGACUGAGACACGGCCCAGACUCCUACGGGAGGCAGCAGUGGGGAAUCUUCCGCAAUGGGCGCAAGCCUGACGGAGCAACGCCGCCGUGAGUGAGGAAGUUCUUCGGAACGUAAAGCUCUGUUGUUCCUGACGAACCUCCCCUCUAUGAACAACGGAGGGGACUGACGGUAGGGAACGAGGAAGCCACGGCUAACUACGUGCCAGCAGCCGC
rnacentral:rRNA from 1 species